rnacentral:lncRNA from 1 species
UCAUGAUCUAGAAUCUAAAUAAUCACCAGUCCUUUUAGACUGGUGUGUGGCCUCCCAUAAUCGUAGCUGGCAUAGUGGAUGGUCCAGCUGUUGUAUCUAUAAUAAGUAAAUAAUAAAAUUAAAUUAAUUAAAGCAUACAUUUUUACAGUUCUAAUAAAGUGUUUUGGUAUAGAUUUCUUACCAGUCUAUCGACUAUAAUAUGUGUGCCGAUGGAGCCAUCCAUGUGCCUGAUCGGAUCUUGGUGGGUGGCUCGAUUCUGUUGGGCCCUUUAUCGCCUACUG